rnacentral:rRNA from 1 species
AGUACGCGUGGGACGUGCCUCUCUACGGAUACCUCUGGAACGGAGAGUAAUACCGUAUACGCCCUUUGUGGGAACAGAUUUUCGGAGAAGGAUCGGCCCGCGUCAGAUUAGGUAGUUGGUGGGGUAACGGCCUACCAAGCCUACGAUCUAUAGCUGGUUUCAGAGGAAUGAUCGGCAACACCUGGUGAAGCUGAGGACACGGCCCACGACUCCGUACAGGGUAGGCAGCAGUGGGGAAUCUUACACAAUGGGGGCAACCCUAGAUCUAGCCAUGCCAGCGUGAGUGAUGAAGCGCCUUAGGGCUCGUAAAGCUCUUAUCGCCUGUGAUAGAUAAUGACAGUUGCAGGUAAAGAAACCCCGGACUAACUCCUGUGCCAGCAAGCCGCGGUAAUACUGGAUGGGGUUAGCGUUGUUCGGAAUUACUGGGCGUACAGCGCGCGUAGGCGGAUUACAAAGUUGGGGGUGAAAUCCCGGGGCUCAACCCCGGAACUGGCUCCAGGAUUGCUAGUCUAAAGUUCGACAGAGGUGAGUGGAAUUCCGAGUGUAUAAGUGAAAUGCGUAAAUAUUCGGAGGAACAACAGUGGCAAAGGCUGGUCACUCGCUCGAUACUGACGCGUGAGGAUCUAAAAUGUGGGGAGCAACAGGAUAGAUACC